rnacentral:ncRNA from 1 species
GGUCACGAGUGACAGCGACACGGCCCCGGCCCGCUGUCCGGCAACCCUCCUUCUGCGGCGGGGUGCCCCGGGUGAUGACCAGGUCGCAGGCACAGAGGUCUGCGGCAAGCGCGGAUC